GCCAGGCGUGGUGGCACACCCCUGUAAUCCCAGCUACUCGGGAGGCUGAGGUGGGAGAAUCGCUUGAACCCGGGAGGUGGAGGCUGCAGUGAGCCAAGAUCGCACCACUGCACUCCAGCCUGGGUGACAGAGCGAGACCCCAUCUCAA
rnacentral:SRP_RNA from 1 species